rnacentral:rRNA from 1 species
AGAGUUUGAUCCUGGCUCAGAGUGAACGCUGGCGGCAUGCCUAACACAUGCAAGUCGAACGGUAACAGGCCCGCAAGGGUGCUGACGAGUGGCGGACGGGUGAGGAAUACAUCGGAAUCUACCCGGUUGUGGGGGAUAACGUAGGGAAACUUACGCUAAUACCGCAUACGACCGAGAGGUGAAAGCGGGGGAUCGCAAGACCUCGCGCGAUCGGAUGAGCCGAUGUCGGAUUAGCUAGUUGGCGGGGUAAAGGCCCACCAAGGCGACGAUCCGUAGCUGGUCUGAGAGGAUGAUCAGCCACACUGGGACUGAGACACGGCCCAGACUCCUACGGGAGGCAGCAGUGGGGAAUAUUGGACAAUGGGGGCAACCCUGAUCCAGCAAUGCCGCGUGUGUGAAGAAGGCCUUCGGGUUGUAAAGCACUUUUAUCCGGAACGAAACGCACUGGGUGAAUAUCCCGGUGAACUGACGGUACCGGAGGAAUAAGCACCGGCUAACUU